UACGUAGGUGGCAAGCGUUGUCCGGAAUUAUUGGGCGUAAAGGGCUCGUAGGCGGCCUGUUGCGUCUGCCGUGAAAGCCCGGGGCUUAACUCCGGGUCUGCGGUGGAUACGGGCAGGCUAGAGUUCGGUAGGGGAGACUGGAAUUCCUGGUGUAGCGGUGAAAUGCGCAGAUAUCAGGAGGAACACCGGUGGCGAAGGCAGGUCUCUGGGCCACUACUGACGCUGAGAAGCGAAAGCAUGGGGAGCGAACAGGAUUAGAUACCCCUGUAGUCCCU
rnacentral:rRNA from 1 species